rnacentral:rRNA from 1 species
ACUGCCUGAUGGAGGGGGAUAACUACUGGAAACGGUAGCUAAUACCGCAUAACGUCGCAAGACCAAANAGGGGGACCUUCGGGCCGUCUUGCCAUCGGAUGUGCCCAGAUGGGAUUAGCUAGUAGGUGGGGUAACGGCUCACCUAGGCGACGAUCCCUAGCUGGUCUGAGAGGAUGACCAGCCACACUGGAACUGAGACACGGUCCAGACUCCUACGGGAGGCAGCAUG